GGCUCAGGCAAAUCAUUUCACAGGAAGUCCCGAUGCGCCUGGUGGCGAGGCUCCGGGGUGUGAAGGGUUGCUUACACGCUUGGCAGACCCCGAAACAACAAGAGCCAAGCUUCCUGUUUCUCUGGGGAGGUUCUGCCGGCGCAGUAGUGGUGAUAAGUCGCCCAAUGAUAACUGGAACGCAGGGGAGGGCUUCUGAAGUACGACGGGAGCCAGGUACAGAUCCACCUCCAUCCUGCCCCAGCGCUGACCUCUGUCAACAUACUGGAACGAGGAUCAGGGCUGCAGCAUUCAGGACAUGCAGUCCACUGGGGGGGGAGUCAGGUGCCGAGCUCUCAGUCUGUGAGCACAUUGAGCCUUGACUGACGGGCCUUGUGACAGGCAGCUCCCUGUGCACAUGACCCCUCUCCUGCCAGGGACACCCAGUGGGAGAGCCGGGGUCCAGGGGUACAAAUGCUGCUCCAUGUUUUAGGAUAAACGCUCAGAGAAGCAAGUGGCACUGUGAACGAUGUUGUGUUGAGAAGAGGAGGCUGAAGCCCAGACCAAUCACAGUACACCUCACUCUGGAUCAGAGCGUCGACAAAUGCCUGACGAAACGUGUUUGGUACUUGAAGUUCUCUGUGUUUCUACUAGAAGUGUCCAGUGAGCCGGUUUGGCUCCUUGCUUGUUUGUCUCAGUGCCAUCUCUGUAGAAUCAGUAGGCUGCUCUGCUGUGCAGGAUGUUGGCACCGGGAGCAUCCUGGUUUGUGUUUGUAGUCCUAAUAGACCGAUCCUCAUGUGUACUAGGCCGCAGUAUGGAGUACUAGGGUGCAGAACGAGUUUAUGGAACGUUAACGUGUCAAACAACCCAUUGUCGCUGAAGCGUCUCCGUGCUGUGAUGAACAGGGGCCGUGUCCCUUGGGAGUGGGGGGAUGAACAGCCUUCCCAGGGUCGGGGGCACGCGGCGACCAGGCCCCUCAAACAUCAACACGGCUCAAAGUCGGCGCAAGACUCGCCCAGAAGUCAUCUAGCGAGGGCGUGAGGUUCCUCGCGGCGGCCAAAGCAGAUUGUUGAUAAGUGUCCGGUUUUCAUUUCCUCAUGUACUCUGGCUGGCUGAGUCUUUCAAAUGCCCCAGAACUCAUUGGAAGGCUCGGGGGGGCCGGCUAUAAUCAGCCCGGCCAAUCUUAGACCUCCGGGGGACAGCUGGUGACACAGGCUCAAUGCCGCAGCGCACACAACACAACAGAAGGUGUGUUGGUCCGCUUUUAGGGAUUUCAAAUAUCAGCUCUCUCAGGUUUUAUGGUGGAGUUGGGGAAAGAGCUGUUGGGCAAGACAGCAGUCCCACGGACAACGUCCUGCUGGACAGACGGACACACCGGUCCUGGCGUCCCAAACAUAGAGCCCACGUAGUCCACGCGUGACUACAGGGCGGUGAAGGUAAUAAAUACCAGAGCGGCCACGCCAGAGGUCAGCGCUACAGGGAGUGGGCAUCAACGACCACAACAAGAUGCAGCCCAGACUAAAGCGGUUCUGAUCAGGUAGAAAACGGCCAGUCAGACCGACAGCCGAAACACAUGAAUGAAAAAACACAAAAGCAAUUGCUGUUCCAAUGUCGGUUUACCAAAUAAUUACUGAAUGGAUCUUGUACAGAUCGGGAUGCCUUACAAACACAAAAACACACACACAUAUACAUAUCUAUAUACCAACAGACCACUUUUAUCUGGAUGUCAGAGCCGGCCAUCUUGGGCCUGUUUCAGGAGUAGCCAUCAGAGCAGCGCCCUGUGGUCCGCAUGUCUCCUGAUUGUGCACAGCCCCACACGGCAUGUUACCUACAGCUGUUUGGAGGUUUACCGCGCCUCAGACCCGUCUCAGAAGCCUUAUGGGGGCAGUUGUCAACGGGUUUUAC
ensembl:lncRNA